rnacentral:rRNA from 1 species
GGACUACAGGGGUAUCUAAUCCCGUUCGCUCCCCUGGCUUUCGCACCCGAGCGUCAGGAGCUUCCCAGGAUGCUGCCUUCGCCAUUGGUGUUCUUCCAGAUCUCUACGCAUUUCACCACUCCACCUGGAAUUCCACAUCCCUCUGAAGCCCUCAAGUCCUACAGUUUCCAGAGUCCUUUUCCGGUUAAGCCGGAAACUGUCACCCCAGACUGAUAGGACCGCCUGCGUGCGCUUUACGCCCAGUAACUCCGGACAACGCUUGCCUCCUACGUAUUACCGCGGCUGCUGGCAC